rnacentral:rRNA from 1 species
AUACGUAGGUGGCAAGCGUUGUCCGGAAUUAUUGGGCGUAAAGCGCGCGCAGGCGGUCCUUUAAGUCUGAUGUGAAAGCCCACGGCUCAACCGUGGAGGGUCAUUGGAAACUGGGGGACUUGAGUGCAGAAGAGGAAAGCGGAAUUCCACGUGUAGCGGUGAAAUGCGUAGAGAUGUGGAGGAACACCAGUGGCGAAGGCGGCUUUCUGGUCUGUAACUGACGCUGAGGCGCGAAAGCGUGGGGAGCAAACAGGAUUAGAUACCCUGGUAGUCCACGCCGUAAACGAUGAGUGCUAAGUGUUAGAGGGUUUCCGCCCUUUAGUGCUGCAGCUAACGCAUUAAGCACUCCGCCUGGGGAGUACGGUCGCAAGACUAAA